GGGGCAAGUCCCUUAACCUCUCUGGGCCUCAGUUUCCUCAUCUGUUAAAUGGGGACCACGUAGGGUUGUGUUUUUUUUAAGGAGUAAAUUGGUAGCAUGCAUAAAGGAGUUACAACCAGUGUUGGUGGAGAGUGAAGAGGCAACGAGUGUUGUCUGGUGUCAUCACGCACAGUUACCGUUGAUUUUAUUACUUCUGCUGCCACUUCAUUUCAGAAGCACAGUGCUUAGCACCCAGGCUACCGGAAGUCAGUAUUUCUGUUAUUUCUUCUCCCUCCUUUCUCUGCUGCUGCUGCUGCUAAGUCGCUUCAGUCGUGUCCGAUUCUGUGCAACCCCAUAGACGGCAGCCCACCAGGCUUCCCCCUCCCUGGGAUUCUCCAGGCAAGAACACUGGAGUGGGUUGCCAUUUCCUUCUCCAAUGCAUGAAAGUGAAAAGUGAAAGUGAAGUCGCUCAGUCGUGUCUGACUCUAGCGACCCCAUGGACUGCAGCUUACCAGGCUCCUCCGUCCAUGGGAUUUUCUAGGCAAAAGUACUGGGGUGGGGUGCCAUUGCCUUCUCCUUUCUCUAAGUAACUCCAAAGAAGGCAGUUACCGAUUCAAAGGACGCAAGCACACAAGUGCACCCACGUGUUCCUAAUACACAGCACGCUGCCGCCGCCAUCUUCUUUCCAGCAGGCGGCCUCCAGCACUGACUUCCCUGGCUUCCACUCCACCCAACCCCUCCUGAGAAAGGCUCAGGGAAGUUCGCUUUUUCUCCAUCCCACCUGCUUAUCCAAGCACCAUCCUCUCGCGUCCGGAUGAGAGGGAUAAGACCACUUAACCAGUUAAGUGAUAGCCCCCAGCCUCUUAGCCACUGGGACGGCGGAGCCACUGAGAGCGAGCCCGGGAUCCCCAGCCCGGGGUUCAGGGUAAACAAGAUUACCUGGGGUGGCAGGAACUGGUGGAGACAGAAGGUGUUUCCAAACUUAAUCUGAAAUUAAUUAGAAAACGAAACAAGCCAAAGGACAAACAUCUGUGAGCAGAUGAUGUGCAGAGGCAAACAAAUUGGACACAUCACAUUCCGCUUGAGCUGGGAGUAGGAUCCUGCCAGGCUACAUAGGGAGUAGCCGGAGAGGCUUUCAGGGGGAGCAGUCUCAGUGUUUACUUCUCAGGAUCAAAUGACGGAGCAGCGCCAAGCUCCAAAGAUGCGGUCAGGGAGAGGGCUCUGCAGGGGAGCUGUGCGUCGGGGAGAUGAUCAUAAAAACUCAUCAGAACACACGCUGUUCAGGACCUGGGAGUGAGGAGCAGAGUGGACAUGGCAGCUCCCCUGACCAUGGGAGCAGGCUUCCUCGUGCACCCGGCAGGCUGGAAGGGGUGCCGGCACUGAGGUCCCGGAAGCACCCCUCCACUCCGUGUGCCCCCAGGUGGACUGCUCAGACACGGCCCAUGGAGGAGCCCACGGUCCCGGCUGAGCGCGUGCACACGCGGGACCUGCCACUUUGGGCAUCCUCACUGGCCUCCUCACCACCCCCUCCCUUUCCCCUUCUCCACCUGCUUCCUGGGACCAGUCCCCAAACAAGCUGCUAGCACCCCAAAUCUGACCCGAGCUGGGGGCUGCUGCUAGGAAUGCAGACAGACAAGGAUGUUGGUGGCAAGCAGACGGGAUGGGGGUUGGUAACCUGGAUGAGUGAGAGACACUGUGCACAGACCUGUCCCAAAGCCGGAGAGAUCCCUACGGGGACUCUGGUGGUUCCGACUCCCGUUUGGAUCAACUGCCUGGUGACCUCAUCACCGCCGUUCCCCAGAUCCACGUCAGCCCUGAAGUCGGGGACCCCCGGCACACAGGAAGCCACACUCGGAGCAUUACCUUAGCUCUGACCCCAGCAGACACCAAGCAACCCUGCCCUCUUCUUUCUAAAGAGGGAGCAGACACCCAAGGAUUCUUACCCGAGUUAACAGCUCCCCUCGCCUUGUGCAUUGCGGUCACUUGUAUCUCAGCAAGAAUGAGCUGGAAGUCUGCCGAUGGAGGUGGGAGAGAAAAUGGGUCCUGGGUCCUUCUGGUCCUAGGGCAGGGGGGGCCCGGCUCCAAUGCCCUCCGGCCCAGCAUUUCAGGUGUCCGUGUCACCUGCCUGAGCCCCUGCUACUCCACUCGCCUGUUGGUGAGGGACAGAAAAGCUCCCUCACUAGGCUACUGUGAGGACUAUGGGAGAUGGUCAGCACCAACUUGUGGAAUUACAACCCAGAGACAGAGAUGACAGAGCACAUCAACUACACUGAGUAGAAGUUGCUCUCUCUUCCAUAAUGUUUCCUCCAUUGUUUUUUGCAUCAUAUCAAGCACAGGAAGAUACACCUGGAUCUAACACAUGUUGUAAAUCAACUAUACUCCCCUCCCCCCUAAAAAAAAAAAAAAAAAACCAUGAGGGUAGGAGGGGCUUUGUGGGAGCCCUCCUUUCCUCUCCUCCCACCCCUCCACCUCAUCACAGAUGCUAUUGGCGAGCAUCUGUUAUAAGCCACAUGCCCGCUCAGCGUUUUCUCACUAAAUGCUCCCCACACCACCCUCAAAAGACGAGAGCUGCCUCCCGUCCCUGCCCCGCCCCAAGAACGCUCGGCGAAGAUGGACAUGCGCCACACCUGAGCUGCCCAAGACAGCAACACCAGCGACCAGCUGCUCAGUGUUUGGCCUGUGCCUCGUGCAACCAACGGGCUUUUACUUAAUUUUAAUUCCUUAUGCACAACUAGCCACAGGUGAAACUGGUCACCAUGUUGGACAGCAGAGAUACACACGGGGGUGAGAAAGAAAAGCAAACUGAAGUCUAAAGGAGUUCGGCAACUGCCCAAGGCCACGGACCUGGAGGAAGGUGGAGGUCAGAGCUGCUCCCACUCUCCGCAGCUUCCCGUGUGCGUCUCCUAAAGCGAACGGCCAAGCUGGCCGUGGACUUACUCAGACACAGGAGACGAGAUCUGAAAGUCAAGACGGGCCGGGUGAAAAAGACACUCAGCAACCAGAGAACGGGCUCAGAGAGACAAGGAAAUGAAUAUUCAAAGAAGAUAAUGGUGGUGGAAACGCUCUGUAAACUGUGAAGUGCUGUCUCAGGGUGGGGGUUAUUAAUAAUCCCCUUUGGCACUGACUCCACGGCAAAGAUUUCUUGUCCCUCUCCAUAUCCUGCUGCUCUGUUAAUCGUUAAUUAAAGCUUAAGGGAUUUGGGAAUACAGGCCUCUGAAAUUUGGACUAAACCCUCCAUGUUAUUGAAAAGAAAAAAAAAAUAAAUGAAGAAUUUUGGAUAAUUAGCUUUUCUUUCCCUAAAUGCUUUCUGGGUGUCAUUACAAACCAAGUGCCAGGCUAAUAUACCUUGUGUUGUGAAUGCCUCACAAUUCCUGCUAAUUGAAUUAAACCCAAUUCUCUGCAAAUAAACUCUUGGUUGUUCUUUAAUGGCAAAUAAGGAAUAGAGCUGUUUCUUUCUGGAACGGGUCAUUACAAGGCCCUAAUUACCAGCAUCUCAACGUGUUAACGCCAGCCUAACGCAAGGCGCCUUUAUGUCGGCUCCUGACAAUGACGGCUCUGUCAAGAUCAAAGUUGUGGCUUGCCCUUGGAAACUUCUCCCUGUUUUUCCUCCACUUCAAAAUAUUUAAUAACGACUAAUCAAAUUUCUAAGACGGCAGAGAAAGGACAAGAGGACAGAAGUCCCCCUUUUUAAAAAAUAUAUAUAUAUAUUCAGGACAAAUAUUUCAAAACUGACACACUGCUCAUGCCUCCUCCCUCCCCUUUCUUUCUCCCUUGGACACAGCACACGUCGUGAAGUUGCCAAUGAGUGAAGGAAUCUGUGCCUCUGGAGCUGCAUGCCAGCCCAAGGUGAACGGAGGAGCUGCACAGAGUAAUCGGAUGUCAGAGAAGAAGAUGGAUUCCUCGGUGCGUGCGUGGCCCAACACCUUUAUCAAUAAUGCAAUGCCAAUUACUUUGGGGACCAGCCUUGGCUCUUGUGGGAUGAGAAACUUUAUUCCAGGGCUCUGAGAACAGCAUCUGUAAUCAGCCACCUUGCCCAGACUUUAAAAUGCAGCACACAUCAGUGCUUACUGGCAGUUCUGCCCUGAUGUGUGGGUGGAGGUUUCACGGCUGAGAUUUCAGAGUCGGGUGGAUGAAAUUUUCACACGGGUGUGACUGACCUUUGUGUGCACUUGCCGCUCCCUGGUGGGUGAUAGCUGGCUCUCUGAAGUGCUAAGCCCUCAUCCUAGGAGAAUCCUGUGGAUGGAGGAGCCUGGUGGGCUACAGUCCAUGGAGUGGCAAGGAGCUGGAUACAACUGAGGGACUGAGCGUGCACACACACAUCCCAUGAAGAGCCUCAGACUCUCAGCUGUCUGUUGUAGAGGAACAGACCAAUUUGAGAUUACCUGGGCAACCCAGAAAUUGGGUUCCCACACUUUACCCUCCAAAGCCUCUCCUUUGCCUCCCUCAGUGCCCAAAUGCCUCAUUCUUUCAAGAUGUUCUGUUUGCCUCCCUAGGAAAGCUCUUCUGAUCUUCUCUGACAGCAAAACUCUUAAAUUCAGCCUCCAGAACCCAGGGCAGACACCCCCAUCAGAGCCUGCCAGUUGCUUCAGCUUCUCCUGUUGCAUUUUUCUCUCCUGCUUGUGCCUGAGGGCAACACAGCAGAGUGGAUGCUUGGGCUCUGAUUGGGGUUGAAU
ensembl:lncRNA